GACGAACGCUGGCGGCGUGCCUAAUACAUGCAAGUCGAGCGAAGCGGCGGAUGGGUGAGUAACGCGUGGGUAACCUGCCCUUAAGUCUGGGAUACCAGUUGGAAACAGAUACUAAUCCUGGAUGCUAAAGGAUGGACCGUCGGUGCAUUAGCUAGUUGGUAAGGUAACGGCUUACCAAGGCGAUGAUGCAUAGCCGAGUUGAGAGACUGAUCGGCCACAUUGGGACUGAGACACGGCCCAAACUCCUACGGGAGGCAGCAGUAGGGAAUCUUCCACAAUGGACGAAAGUCUGAUGGAGCAACGCCGCGUGAGUGAAGAAGGUUUUCGGAUCGUAAAGCUCUGUUGUUGGUGAAGCGGUAAUCAACCAGAAAGUCACGGCUAACUACGUGCCAGCAGCCGCGGUAAUUC
rnacentral:rRNA from 1 species